CGUUCCGGGCGCCGAGCUGCCCGUAGCGUGUUAUAUCGUCUGGGUUCUUUGUUGUUGGCUGAGCCUGAGUCGGUUGAAAUAUGAGUGCUCGAGUGAGAUCAAGAUCCAGAGGAAGGCGAAGUGUUCGUGAGUCUUCCAAUCCGGUUGAACCUGUGGUUGCCCAGCAACCAGGUGGCAAAAAAUCUCAACAAAAGAAACCACCAGCUGAGAAUCCGGAUAUUGAACCUGGACAAGAGAGAGAAGAAGAAGCAUCUGCGGUUCAAGAAGAACUUGAAGUGGAAGAUGAUAGCCAGGUAUUGGACGUGGAAAAGCCUGAGGGCAAGGAUGGAGAUGGCCUUGAUGAGAAAGGGAAGACUCCACCUAAUCCUAGUACCUGCUAAAAUUCCAGAAACAGAUGGUGGACAAGUAACAAGUUAAAAAGAAGACAAGCUGAAGCCUCACAUGCUGUUAGUUAUAUUGAUAAUUUGGCUUGUUAAAUUCUCUCAAUAAAGUUUUACAGUUUUCUCAGAAGAGGUCAUGCACAUGUUUUGAUAAAUCUAUUCCUUGGAGAUUGAUAUUAUUGUAAAUAGUAUCUUAAAAAACUCGUCAUAUUCUGUUUAGAGCUGGUCUAUAGAAGUGCUGUUUAUUUUCGUAUAAUGAUUUUGUGUCUGGCAACUUCACUAAACUUAUUCUAAUAGUUUAUCUCUACAUCCUUUUGGAUUUUCUACAUACACAAUAGGUACCAUAUGCAAAUAAUGACAGUUUGUUUCUUCCUUUGGAGUCUUUCUGCUGUUUAUUUCUUGUCCUUACCUUAUGACACUGGCCAGAUACUUUUAGUACAAUGUUAAAUAGAAGUGAUGAUACUAGACAUCCUUGUCACCUUCCUUAUCUCAAAGGGAAAACUUUGAACAUUUCAAUAGAAUAGGUUUUUUAUUAGAUCUCUUCUAUUAGAUUAAGAAAUUUCCUUUUUAUUCCUAGUUUGCUGACCUUUUUAUUCUUAGUUUGCUCACCUUUUUAUUCCUAGUUUGCUCAGAAUACUUACCAUGAAUAUUUGUUGAAUUUUAUCAAACACUUGUUCUGUAUCUAUUGAGGUGAUCUUAUGAUGUUUCUCCUUUAAUCUGUUAAUGUGGCAUUCCUAAAAUAAACCCAAUUUAA